AGAGUUUGAUCCUGGCUCAGGAUGAACGCUAGCUACAGGCUUAACACAUGCAAGUCGAGGGGCAGCAUGGACCCAGUUUUGCUGGGUUUGAUGGCGACCGGCGCACGGGUGAGUAACGCGUAUCCAACCUGCCCUUUACUCCGGGAUAGUCUCCUGAAAGGGAGUUUAAUACCGGAUGUGUUUGUCUUUCCGCAUGGGAGCGACAAAUAAAGAUUGAUUGGUAAAGGAUGGGGAUGCGUCCCAUUAGCUUGUUGGCGGGGUAACGGCCCACCAAGGCGACGAUGGGUAGGGGUUCUGAGAGGAAGGUCCCCCACAUUGGAACUGAGACACGGUCCAAACUCCUACGGGAGGCAGCAGUGAGGAAUAUUGGUCAAUGGGCGGGAGCCUGAACCAGCCAAGUAGCGUGAAGGAUGACGGCCCUACGGGUUGUAAACUUCUUUUAUAAGGGAAUAAAGUUCGCCACGUGUGGUGUUUUGUAUGUACCUUAUGAAUAAGCAUCGGCUAAUUCCGUGCCAGCAGCCGCGGUAAUACGGAAGAUGCGAGCGUUAUCCGGAUUUAUUGGGUUUAAAGGGAGCGUAGGCGGGCUUUUAAGUCAGCGGUCAAAUGCCACGGCUCAACCGUGGCCAGCCGUUGAAACUGCAAGCCUUGAGUCUGCACAGGGCACAUGGAAUUCGUGGUGUAGCGGUGAAAUGCUUAGAUAUCACGAAGAACUCCGAUCGCGAAGGCAUUGUGCCGGGGCAGCACUGACGCUGAGGCUCGAAAGUGCGGGUAUCAAACAGGAUUAGAUACCCUGGUAGUCCGCACGGUAAACGA
rnacentral:rRNA from 1 species